rnacentral:rRNA from 1 species
UUGACCUCGGAUCAGGUAGGGAUACCCGCUGAACUUAAGCAUAUCAAUAAGCGGAGGAAAAGAAACCAACCGGGAUUGCCUCAGUAACGGCGAGUGAAGCGGCAAGAGCUCAAAUUUGAAAUCUGGCCCCUCCGGGGUCCGAGUUGUAAUUUGCAGAGGAUGCUUCGGGUGCGGCCCCUGUCUAAGUGCCCUGGAACGGGCCGUCAGAGAGGGUGAGAAUCCCGUCUUGGGCAGGGUGCCCGUGCCCGUGUGAAGCUCCUUCGAC